rnacentral:rRNA from 1 species
UACCGCGAUACCACCCUGAACGCUCCCGAUCUCAUCUGAUCUCAGAAGCUAAGCAGGGUGGGGCCUGGUUAGUACUUGGAUGGGAGACUAACCAUAUAUUUCUGGUAACUUGGGGAG